ensembl:lncRNA
GCCCCUUCUUUAGGAGGAAUGUUCUACAGCCAGAGUCUCAAUGCCAGCUGGAGAAAUUUGACUCGCUCUGGCCCAGAGAUGAGCUGGAUUUGUGGCCCAGGAGCAAACAAUGCUUUCAGAGGAUCCAAGCUGCAGGGCCACUUCCACACAAAGGCUUGUAAAUGCAGUGCUGUGGAGAGGCUCUAACACUCACACUGAGAGGGAAGAAGUUGAGAUGAGGAAUCCAGUAAACUCCUCAAUAUCUGCUGCUUUAUACACAACCGGUGUUUAACACAAGAAACAGGGGACAUUUCUGUCUCUUAUUUGACUGUUGUCAGCACAUUGCUUGUUUGCUGUAAUACAGUGUGGCACCGUGAUGUUGCAGUCAGACUCCAUGCCCAUUCCUAUAAAUACAGCCCUGUGUGGCCCAGAUCCUUGGGACGUUCCCCAGUUCUUCCUCUGCUGGUAGCAAGCUCUACUAUGCCAGGGUUCUGCAUACUGAGCAUUCAAGGUUUGGUCCUGACACGGACUCUUGCAGUGAAGGGUUGCAUGAAAUGCAGAAUGAAAAUAGGCCAGGCAGUGGCAUGGAACUUCUUGCCAAAAAAAAACAGCACGGCACAUGAGAUUCAGGGGUUAGCAGCAAAUAGGCCUUUCCUAGGAGUGACAGUAGUGUACUGUUGGAUCGACAAAAAGUAAAAUGGCACAGAUUAAGAGGAUGAAAGCCCCUUCCUCCUCAGUGAUGAAGAGAUGUGUGUGGGACUCAUACUUAUGCCUUUUUCAUCCCUGGCCCUGCCAGCAGCCUGAGGUGCUCCUCAGAGGGUCAUCAUCAUCUUCAUGGCCUUCCCCAACCCUGUGAUGCCUUGCCAGUAUCAAAAUGACCCCAUCAUCUGCUGCCUGCUUUGGACUGAGUAGAAAUAACUUGAAUACCUUUCAUAAUUUGCUGUUGGAGGUUGCUGUUGAAGUCUGCACUUGCCUGUGAAAGCUGUGAGGAGAGUCAAUCUGUUCCUCUGCCUCAAUUUUGUCAUCUAAAAAAUGGCAAUUAAGACAUUUUAGUUCUCCCAUCAGUAGAGAGCCAGUGACCUGGUGUAAUAAAAUGAUACCGUUUUGAUCAUUUGCC